UGCACACAUAUAUACAAUUACAUAUAUUUAUAUGCAAUUAUAUAUAACUGUAUAUUGAUUGUCCCUUGAACAACAUGGGUUUGAAUGGCAUGGGUCCACUUACAUAAGGAUUCUUUUUUUUUUUUAAGUUUAUUUAUCUAUAGGCAAUUAGUGUAUCCAGUGACUAAUUAAUGUACCAAGUGACUCCCACGUGCCAAAUCGCAUGUGAAACUCCAGAACAGUCCUACUCAAUGUCACUUAUGUCUGUGUGGGAAAGAAUUGAUGAUGAAAACUGUAGGAAUGGAAUGAAUAUCAAUGCUUCCUUUUUCUCUUUUUUUUCAAUAAUGAAGUCUCAACCUCAUUGUUUCUUUGAUUUUCUUUCAGUUUCUUUCAGUUUGAAUAUGAUAUACCUAAAGUUUAGGACUUGUUUUGGGGGUGUUUUGGGUAUUCAUUUUUUAUUGAGGCAUAACUGACAUAUCACAUUAUAUUACAUGCAGAUGUUUUUCUCUAAAACUUUUUCUUUCUUUCUUUCUCUGUGACUUGGCCGCAUCUUUUCACACCCAUCGUUACUGCAGAGAGUCCAUAUUGUACAGAAGAAUUGGUCUUCCAGGCCACUUCCUGGACUGACCCACACUGCUCUCCAUCAAAUUCUCAGGUCUGAUUAGGGUUGGCAACACCAUCCCUCAUAGUUUCAUAUAUCAGAUUCAGUCUUUUCUAGUUGCAUGUGACCUCCUAUUUAAGGGGGAGGAGUAAAAUUUCUCCUUAGAUGUAUGUGUAGUCAUUCGUGUCCUACUCUCUGUGACCCCGUGGACUGUAGCCCCACCAGUCUCCUCUGUCCAUGGAAUUCUCCAGGCAGGAAUACUGGAGGGGGUCGCCAUGCCCUCCUCCAGGGGAUCUUCCCCACCCAGGGAUCGAACCCGCGUCUCCUGUGUCUCCUGCGUUGCAGGCGGGUUCUUUCCCCACUGAACCAUCGGGGAAGCCCUGCGGCAGAAAAGCAGGUCUCUGUGGAGGGCCGGUCUCUCACAUCUUCGUGGCCGGAAAAUCACGGCAGGAAACCCGCAGUGUUUUGCCGGGACCAAGGGAUUUGGGCACAGACCGACCUACCUGAAGUCUACCAAAACCCUCUUGAAGAAAGAUCCCUUGCCGUCGUGUCUGGGACUUCUGCCAUCGAGCUCCUCCCGCUCCUCUUCCUCCUCUUCUUUUUCAUCUGCCUGUGCUGCUGUGGAGGCCAACAGGGUUCCACUGAUAAUGAGACCAAGAGCCAACCGGAUUUUAACAGCUCUAACCCUGGCAUGGACUUCUCAGAAGAAAAUCCCGACGAUGUCUCGGUGCACCUCCCACCAGAGGAGGACAGGCAGAGGGACAUGCAGGUGAGUCUCCCCACCUCCCCUGACCCCUCCCCUGGCCCCUCCCCCGGGGCUCACCCCUCACUUUGUGUCUCCCAGGUCACCCCGAGGAAUGCCCAUGGGGCUCUUCUGAGUCCUCCGCUGAGCCGCACCAGGAUUCCUUCAUGGAGAGUGAGGUUUCACUCCCAUCUUGCAGCCCUGAGGACUCCUCAGUAUAGCCCCGCAUGGACCCGCCUUCACUUCAUCCAGAGAGCGGAGCUGGAGCUGGCUGUGUGCCCUCCAUGGCGCAAGGGCCCCUUAAGGAGUGUGUGAGUCAUCAUCUUGUGUGUGAGUGUGUGCGUGCACCUGCCCAGUGCGUCUGACUCUUU
rnacentral:lncRNA from 1 species